CCUACGGGAGGCAGCAGUAGGGAAUAUUGGGCAAUGGGCGAGAGCCUGACCCAGCCAUGCCGCGUGCAGGAUGAAGGCCUUCUGGGUUGUAAACUGCUUUUGAUCGGGAACAAACCGUCCAUGCGUGGAUAUUUGAGUGUACCGAUAGAAUAAGCACCGGCUAACUCCGUGCCAGCAGCCGCGGUAAUACGGAGGGUGCAAGCGUUGUCCGGAUUUAUUGGGUUUAAAGGGUGCGUAGGCGGCCCUGUAAGUCAGUGGUGAAAUACUGCAGCUUAACUGUAGCAUUGCCAUUGAUACUGUAGGGCUUGAGUACAGAUGAGGUAGGCGGAAUUGAUGGUGUAGCGGUGAAAUGCAUAGAUACCAUCAAGAACACCGAUUGCGAAGGCAGCUUACUAAGCUGUAACUGACGCUGAGGCACGAAAGCGUGGGGAUCGAACAGGAUUAGAUACCCUGGUAGUCCACGCCGUAAACGAUGAUUACUCGAUGUUCGCGAUAUACAGUGAGCGUCCAAGCGAAAGCGUUAAGUAAUCCACCUGGGGAGUACGCUCGCAAGAGUGAAACUCAAAUGAAUUGACGG
rnacentral:rRNA from 1 species